rnacentral:lncRNA from 1 species
CAGUGAUGUCAUGUUUCGUCACCUUUGGUGGACUCCAACGCGUAGCCGGAGCAGUUGCAUGUCACCUCAUGCACUGACUCAUAUCAGCGUGAUCCCACGGGUGGUAGUUGGGAGCAUGAGAUCAGCAUUCUCGAAUAAGAUAAGGAGGAACCUUGCAUGUUUGUCUUCCAUGGAGUGAUGCGUUGCCAAAGUAACACUGGAGUGUGCGCUACCAAAACAUGCGCCCGCUGUGCUGUUCUGCGAUGUGCAGGUCGUUGCUGGACUAGCAGUGGUUGCCGUUGGUAUUGUGCUCGUGAGUUCGCACAGGAAUUGGAGAACCUGGUGAGCACGUCGUUCCUCGGCAAAUGGAUGGAUAGACUCAGCUCAGAAUUAAAGGAAGCAUUAGCUGAUUUUUGCAAAGACUUUCGAGUCAGCGCAUUUAACUGGGUUUCUCACAUGGACGAGUUUUUCGCACGUCAUUUACAUUUCGCACAGCGUGAAUCAGGAGAAAACGGUUGCCCGAUGCAGCUUUUAGAUGUGCCUCGUCAUUCUGGGUGUGGAAUCGCCGAACAGCCCAUUUCCUCAGCACUCGAGCGUGCUCAAUACAUAGUAUCAUAUCGGCCUUUCCGGUGUAGGGAACUACAUGGGAUAUCGAAUAAUGCGAUAUUCGGUACUGUCGUGCGACGUAUGCAGUACCUGGUGACAGUAAGGGGCAAAUGCGGUAAGAUGGAUCACUGCAGACUUCUGCGGCCUCAAAGUAAAUGACGAAGGCAAGGGCUUUAAACGAGGGAUUCAGGGCAGGUAUGCAAGACUGUAGUACAGUGUCAGUAGCCGAUCAGCAUCUAGGUGUAAACUCCAACUGAGAAGGUAACGCACUUCGCUUCGACGGUCUGGCGAUGAUGCCUUGCCAGCUACGCCUUCGAGCAUCUUGUAGCAGAUGCUUGAUUUGCAGGGAGGUGCCUUUUGUAUGCUGAUAUACUUGGGAGGAGCCUUCAUGCUCUAUUGGCGGUCCAUCGUACUGGUUUAUCUCCCUCAGGACAGAGCAAGACUGGGGUGACCACAAGCGAUGCGCCAGCAGUUUGAGCAAGGAUGUCACCGAAAGCACUAGAUCUUCUCCAUAGGAAUAAUAUUGUAUUGGACGUACCAGUAGGAUUACCUGCACACCUCUGAGACACACACCGAACAAACAGUCAGAAUGGGGAUGGCGGCAUUGAUUGCAAACACCAGUGCAUAUCGUGACAUCGAUUGAGCAUUCUGAAGUUCCCCCUAAAGACACCAGGAUUCUAAGGAUACAACGCAGCGCUUUGAUGAACGGGCACCGGUGCGGUUUAGCGGUUCUUGCUGGUCCGUUUAGUGCGGCCGAGUCCUGAGAAGCACCAGUCACUGACUACGAAGGUGUUGAUGGUGCACGCAGCUGGGAGAAGAGCAGCAGGAGCCGUGCACAUAGUUGUGUACGGCUGACGGAAGUUAUGUAUUGAAGAGAGUGUUGCGUGCUACUAGACGAUGCUGUUAAGAGGGGACAGAGGGUCGUUAACCGAUGCGUGAGAAAGAGUGUCCAAAAACAUCUGUUUUUUUGCGCAGCCUACGGGAGCACCUCAGGUAAGAGCAUUUGAUCUAUGGUAUACCUCGAGGGUCUGCCGAGUUUCGGGGAGGGACGGAGGGAAGGUCAUUCUCAGUAGUGCGGGCGUGAAGAUUAGUUGCGAAGCUGAACGGAAGUAGGUAGACAGGGCUCAAAUGAAAACUACCGCAGGUCAUCCCCUUCUCAAACUGCGGCUUCAUCGCGAUGUUACGGUGCGUUUUGGAGUUGCAGUCACUGAUAGGAAGUGUGCACUUCCCGCAGUGUCUCGCUUCAACUAUUGUUGGCGAUCUACGCUGGCGUAUCUAAGGGAAGCCGCCCAGACAUAGCUGACUACCACGAGAAUUUAAAUUUGUUGUGCGAGCGUUGCCGACGCGACAACAGACGCGACUUGGGGGUCAAAUGUAUAACAUAGCAUGGGCAAACGGACGGUUAUGCCUUUCUCUUGCCGGCGUCCGCGCUACUCCCAGUGUCUCGAUUCAACGCGGAAUGCCCCAGAGAAACAAGCAUAAGGCGCACGCCACAAUGAUAUAACUCGCGUUGGGUGUGAACCGAGGCAAUGCCCGCAGUGUGUCGCUAUUAGCUCACACACAGCAGCACCCAGCUGACCUUGGGUUCUGGACCAAUCCUUCUAAAAGCCUUCUCGGAUAGCCUCAACUGUGCGCGUCCAAGACCACGAAGAAGUCCUGUGAGAGGGGAGUGGCAAUCGCAACUGCCUAUGCUUGCGCAGGUACGUCAGCGCAAGCCGUCAUGGUGCGACAUCUAGUUUGCGGACUGCCGUGGGUUCCACGUCAGGACACCGUGGGAAUACGGUUGUGGACAGCCACAGAAGGUGAGGCUUGCCUGUGUUGUUUAUUUGAUUUAUCUGUUGUGGCCAGAACUAUACGCGGUUGAAAAAGAGCCAAAAGGAUGCUGCGUCAGCAUGUCGGUGUGAGUGGAGUAGGGAAGAUAGGCGAACAUGGAUAGUCGAGUACGUCAGUGCAGUGGGGCAUAAUGUGAAAUCUGUCUUGUGGCCAGCCGCGAGCUCACAACAGUCUUGCUAUAUGCCUGUGUCCAGGCGCAGGAGGUGAGGCUCGGCUUUUCAUUCUUCGGUUUUCCUGUUGUGUGAAUGAACGGAUGCAGGUGCGCGAGAGCAUGAAGGGUGCUGUGUCAGAGUGUCAGUGACAAUGUGGUAGGAACGGUAGGUGAACAUGGUUAAUCCUCUACACCCCUGCGUGAUGACAUUGUUUCACACGUGAUUUGACAGCUGCCAUGAGCGUCGUGUGAGAACACCAUCAGAAUUUUGUAGUGAGCUGCCACGGAAGGUGAGGACCGCGUUUGAGUCCCAUUUGACUUUGUCCGCUGUGUGCAGCUCUAGAUGCGGUAGAGCGCGCGCCUAAG